AGGAAAAGAAACCAACCGGGAUUGCCUUAGUAACGGCGAGUGAAGCGGCAAAAGCUCAAAUUUGAAAUCUGGUACCUUCGGUGCCCGAGUUGUAAUUUGGAGAGGGCAACUUUGGGGCCGUUCCUUGUCUAUGUUCCUUGGAACAGGACGUCAUAGAGGGUGAGAAUCCCGUGUGGCGAGGAGUGCGGUUCUUUGUAAAGUGCCUUCGAAGAGUCGAGUUGUUUGGGAAUGCAGCUCUAAGUGGGUGGUAAAUUCCAUCUAAAGCUAAAUAUUGGCGAGAGACCGAUAGCGAACAAGUACAGUGAUGGAAAGAUGAAAAGAACUUUGAAAAGAGAGUGAAAAAGUACGUGAAAUUGUUGAAAGGGAAGGGCAUUUGAUCAGACAUGGUGUUUUGUGCCCUCUGCUCCUUGUGGGUAGGGGAAUCUCGCAUUUCACUGGGCCAGCAUCAGUUUUGGUGGCAGGAUAAAUCCAUAGGAAUGUAGCUUGCCUCGGUAAGUAUUAUAGCCUGUGGGAAUACUGCCAGCUGGGACUGAGGACUGCGACGUAAGUCAAGGAUGCUGGCAUAAUGGUUAUAUGCCGCCCGUCUUGAC
rnacentral:rRNA from 1 species